AUUAAUUAGUCUAUAUAAAGACGUAUACUUUGAAAGUAUAAGAAAUUGUUUCAAAACAUUAUUAAUUU
rnacentral:tRNA from 1 species